rnacentral:lncRNA from 1 species
ACAGUAAGUGUCCUUGGCACUCAGGGUGCAGGAUAGGAAGAGACCAACUUCACCAGGAGGCUUUGGAGCAAGCGCCCUGGGCCUUGAUGCGCCUGAAAGCUUGUGUGGAGAAAAAGAUCCUCCCACUCCCGGCUCCCCUUUCCUAAAAAUCCGAGACAAAGCUCAAUGGUCUUGUCCGGUGUCCACCCCCACUCCCCCCAGUGUUCGUCUCCCAGGAAAGCGCCCCACACUGGGCGUCCCGGGAGAAAGGACCUAGAAUAGUCAAAACCACAGAGAAGGAUCUGACUGUGUGGCUCUGGAUGCUGCCUUGCCCUCCCGAGUGCUGGAAUGGCAGUGCUUUGAUACCAUGCCCAGCUACCAGUUCUUGUGAUUCUUAUGAUACCUCAUCAGGGUGGAGUUUGGUAGCUUUGGAAGCCUGUUCCAAGAGAGAAAACCAGCCCGUAUGCUUAUAGACUUAAACAGGAGCCUAGCAAAACUCUCUCCUGAGAUGCUUCAUCCAAGCAGCAAAUAGAAACAGAUGCAGAGACCCACAGACAAACAUCAGGUGGAGCUCAGAAACCCUGGUGUGAAGGCAGCAGAAUCAGUAACUCUCCACUGGCAACAAAGCUGGAGCUGUGUCCUUGCAGGAGGAGAGCGUUGGCUGGGAAGAAGCUGAACGCCCAUCCUCUUUAAUGUUAGGAAGCUCUGAGAAGCUCUGAGAAGAAGAGUCUUGGCCCAGAGCGUCAUAAUGAAGUUGCUUUGGCGAGCUUCCUUUUUAAGACCUUUGGCUGUGGGUGAGCUAUGUGACCUGGGAAAUGUAAGGCAAGCUGUUGUUGCAGAUGUAGCCCAGACACAGGGCACACAAAGCCGCUGAGCUUUUGUCCUUUCAGAAACUGCAACUCUAUGAUCCAACAAAAGCAGCUUUUAAGUUUAAGUCAUCUGACAGUUUAUGUGAGGUGACAAUAAGUUAAUUUAAUAGAUGUUUAUUUUCCUCAUUUUAGAGAUGUCAUUAAUUCUAGCUUAUGUUCGAAUUCAAUAUAAUAUUUGUGCAAAACACAAAUGAAUUGUAUAUACAGUUUGUGACAGUUAGUUUUAAUUGUCAACUUGACAUAACCCAGGAUCACAUGGGAAAGGAAUCUCAGUGAGGGAUGGUCUACAUCAGAUUGGCCUGUGGGCACAUCUAAGUGGGAUUGUCUUGAUUGCCUGUGUUUAUGUGAAAAUCCAGGCCAGCAUAAAUAGCACUGCUCCCGAGACAAGAGGUCAUGCAUAUGGAGCCAAGCACAGGCAAGCAAGCAAGCAAGCAAGCAAGCAAGCAAGCAAGCAAGCAAGCAAGCAUUCAUCUCUCUUCUUGACCAUGGUUGCAAUGUGAUAGACUAUAACCUGGAAGCAUAAGCCAGGGAGAUCCUUUUUCCCCUACUUUAAUUUUUGUCAGGAUAUGCUUAUCACAGCAACAGAAAUUGAACUAUAUUAGCAUUUAUUCCUGUUAAUCCUGUUGUCUACAAAAAAAAAAAAAAA